GUAUUGAACAAAAUAAGUUCAGGGCCUCAACCGAGACCCGGUGUCGAUUUUUGGUGAGCUCUUCAAUGCUGAAGAGCUU
rnacentral:snRNA from 14 species